rnacentral:rRNA from 1 species
UACGGAGGGUGCGAGCGUUGUCCGGAAUCAUUGGGCGUAAAGGGCGCGUAGGUGGCGGGACAAGCGUGCGGUGAAAGCUCGGGGCUCAACCCCGAGUCGGCCGUGCGAACUGUUUUGCUUGAGCACUGUAGAGGCAGGCGGAAUUCCGGGUGUAGCGGUGGAAUGCGUAGAGAUCAGGAGGAACACCAAUGGCGAAGGCAGAUCUCUGGGCCGUAACUGACGCUGAGGAGCGAAAGCAU